rnacentral:rRNA from 1 species
GGCGGAGUUAUAGCACACUCUUAAGCGUAGUAGUUUAUGCCUCGCUUCUGGAGUAGCUGUAGCUGCCGGCCGUAAAACCCC